CCCCACUGUCUCAAGAUAAAAACCAAUGAAAUUGAAGUCGUAGUGAAGAUGCUACGUUCAAAUUGUAAGACGAGAAGACCCCAUUGAGCUUUACUGGAAGUUUAUAUUUGUUUUUAUUUAAAGAUGCGGAUAGCCGUUUUUCAUGUGGAAAGACUAUUGCAAGGAAAGUGUAG
rnacentral:rRNA from 1 species